CGUGUUGUCAGCUCUUCGAUAUGUUAUUUAUACAACUAAUAAUUUUUAUUUUAACAUUCAUUAGUAUUAUUUCUUCUUUGAGAUUCUCCCUUAUCUAUUCCGAAAGGUUAGAAGUUAAUAAAAAAUAUAGUGGAAUUUAAAAUAAAAUAAAAAAAGAACUUUCACAAACAUGAAUACUAAUUAAUUAAAGACAUUUAAAAAUAAUUCCAAUUUUAUAAAAGGCCUUAAAGUUUUUUAUCAGAAGUUAAUAAAGCUUGAAAUUUUUAUUUAUAAAGUGGUCAAAAAAUAUUCUAUUUAUUUCACGUAAAUGAUGAAAAAUAUGGUUCAAAUUUUCAUAUUUGUUUAUGUUUUGAGUAUUUUGCUUUCUCCAUUUCUUGUUGAAAUCAGGGCUGAUGUCAUUCCCUGCGUUUCUCACUUUGAUUGUCCAGAAGAGUCUCCCCCAAAAAUGAGAUGCAUUGAUAACUAUUGUCACUAUGUGUUAGAAUAACAAUUACAUCUAACUAUAUAAUUUUAUUUGUUGUUUAUAAUGUUUGUAUUUUGGAUAGUUGAUAUACCUAAAUGUGUGAGUAGGGAUGACAAAAAUAUUCAUAUCCGCGGAUAAAAUCCGUCACGUGUAUGAGACGGAUAGUUUAAUAGAUAUUUACAAAUAAAAUAAAUUGAUAUUUAAAUUGAUAUA